UACAGCCACAUCAUGUUGAAACACCGGUUCCUGUACGAUCACCGAAUUUAAGCAACGUCGAACCUAGUCAGUAUCAGAUGGGUGACCGCUUGGGAAUACCAGGUACUGUAAG